UGUGAACGUGGGGACGUUUGUGGGUUGCUGCUGGAGUGAAAAUUGUUUGACAGGGAGGUGAGGCGACCUGUGCAGAGCGAUUUGAAGAGAGAAGUUUUUUUUUUUCCAGUGAGUCUGACAGUUUGCGAGUCAACGUUGGAGGCGGACUCGAGCGACACAAAUGAUUUGUACGAGUCUCAGCAACAGGGCAGCGAGAGAAAUGUCAGGGACUGCCCCAGCCUCGAGCGAGGGGAAGCGCGACUAGUCGGCUGCACCGCAACGCGGAAAAUAUUCAGGGGGAGAGAAUGCGAAUGGUGAGAGGAUACCGAAAUCAAACAAAAUGGAAACGAUGUAGCGUCGCUGCGACAGUUCACAUAGCUAGAACUAACGGUAGAGUAGAGAGUAGAUAGCUAAGGGGCUAGCAGCUCAACUAACAUACAUGUAAAGUUAUUCCCGUGAGAAGCUGAAGCAGAGCCUCGGAGGCGUCUGUUGAAUCGGGGGAGUUCACCAGUGUUGCUAAAUCAAAGAAGAUAAUCGGAAGAAGAUGCUACGGAGAAGACUGAACCGUUUGCUUGGCGUCGAUGAGAGAAGAGUAGACAGCAGGACUAUCUAUGUUGGUCAUCGGUCAUCUUCCACCAAUGAGGCUUUCAUCCCACCCAAGUUCUGUGAUAACAGGAUUGUGUCUUCCAAGUAUACCGUUUGGAACUUUCUACCAAAGAACCUGUUUGAACAGUUCAGAAGAAUUGCCAAUUUCUACUUUCUUAUAAUUUUCCUGGUGCAGGUGAUCGUGGACACCCCCACCAGCCCAGUCACCAGCGGCCUACCCUUAUUUUUUGUGAUUACAGUCACCGCUAUCAAGCAGGGCUACGAGGACUGGCUGCGGCACAAGGCUGACAAUGAGGUCAAUAAGUACCCAGUGACGGUGCUAGAGCAAGGCCGGAGGAUACGGAAGGAGAGCGAGAAGAUCAAGGUUGGAGAUGUUGUGGAGGUGGAGGAAGAUGUGACUUUUCCCUGCGAUUUAAUACUGCUACAGUCAAGCCGAGAUGACGACACAUGUUUCGUUACCACAGCAAGUCUGGAUGGAGAGUCCAACCAUAAAACACAUUACACAGUGCCAGACACAGAGAAGGAUCUGGAAACGCUCAACGCCACCAUCGAGUGUGAACAACCACAGCCUGACCUUUACAAGUUUGUCGGCCGUAUGCACAUCUACAAAAAUGACCAGGAGCCGGCAGUGAGGUCUUUGGGCCCAGAAAACCUCCUGCUGAAAGGGGCAACUUUAAAGAACACUCAGAGAAUCUGUGGUGUUGCAAUUUACACUGGCAUGGAGACAAAGAUGGCUCUCAACUACCAGGGCAAGUCUCAGAAACGCUCUGCUGUGGAGAAGUCUAUCAAUGCCUUCCUUCUGGUUUACCUUUGCAUAUUGGUGAGCAAGGCCCUAGUGUGCACUACACUUAAGUAUGUGUGGCAGGGCAAGCCCGGACAGGAUGAGCCUUGGUACAAUGAGAAAACUCAGAGAGAGAAGGACACCAAUCUGUACCUAAAGAUGUUCACUGACUUCCUGUCCUUCAUGGUGCUCUUCAACUUCAUCAUUCCGGUAUCCAUGUAUGUGACAGUUGAGAUGCAAAAGUUUUUGGGAUCAUUUUUCAUCACAUGGGACAAAGACUUCUUUGAUCCUGAAAUCAAGGAGGGAGCAUUGGUCAACACUUCAGACCUCAAUGAGGAGCUGGGACAGGUGGAGUACGUCUUCACAGACAAGACGGGCACCCUCACCCAGAACAACAUGGAGUUCAUCGAGUGCUGCAUCGACGGCUUCCAGUACAAGUACCGGGACGCAAGCUCAGAUUUGGACGGAUUCUGUGUCACAGAUGGACCUUUGAACAAAGUGCAGGAGAAAGCUGGCAGGGAGAAGGAGGAGCUGUUUCUGCGGGCCCUGUGUCUGUGCCACACGGUCCAGGUGAAGGAGUCUUCAGAGCAGGGUCAAGGCCAAAGGGACCAGGUGGAUGGCUUCGGGCUGGAUGGAGAGGUGCUCCCUCCACUGCGGGAGCAGAGGGGCUUUAUUGCCUCUUCACCUGAUGAGGUUGCUCUGGUCAAGGGUGCCAUGAGGUUUGGCUUCACAUUUCUGGGUCUGGAAAGUAAGAACAUGAAAAUUCUCACCAGGAACAAUGAUAUUGAAAUGUAUGAACUGCUUCACGUGUUGAACUUUGACCCAGUGAGAAGGCGCAUGAGUGUAAUAGUCAGAUCCAAAUCAGGUGAUACAUUGCUCUUCUGUAAGGGAGCAGACUCUUCCAUAUUUCCUCGUGUCAGACAGGAGGAGGUUGAAAGGAUACGCAUGCAUGUGGAGCGUAAUGCCACAGAGGGCUACCGGACACUGUGUGUGGCCUACAAAAAUCUCAGUGCAGAGGAUUACGCCCAGGCAGAUGCAGGCUUGAUGGAAGCUAGACUGGCUCUGCAGGACAGAGAGCAGAAGCUCAUGGCUGUUUACAACCAAGUGGAGACUGGCAUGAGUCUAAUAGGAGCGACUGCUGUAGAAGAUCGGCUUCAAGAGGAGGCAGCAGAGACCAUGGAGGCUCUGCAGGGUGCAGGUAUUAAAGUUUGGGUCCUAACGGGGGACAAGAUGGAGACGGCAAAGUCCACCUGCUAUGCUUGUAGAUUGUUCCAGAGAAAUACAGAGCUGUUGGAGCUUACUGUGCGCACUCUGGAGGAUGGAGGGAGGAGGCGGGAGGAACGACUGCAUGAGCUCUUGCUUGAAUACCACAAGAAAGCUGUACAGGAUGCACCGCCGGUUAAGUCAGGCGUCACCAGGACCUGGUCUUCAGCAAACCAGGACUAUGGCUUCAUCAUAGACGGAGCCACUCUGUCGAUGGUGCUCAACUCCUCCUCUGAAUCCAACUCAAGUCGCUACAAGAACCUGUUCCUGCAGAUUUGUCAAAACUGCACAUCUGUGCUCUGCUGCCGCAUGGCUCCUCUACAAAAAGCACAGAUUGUCAAGAUGGUGAAGAACUCUAAAGGCAGCCCAAUCACUCUUUCCAUUGGAGAUGGGGCCAAUGACGUCAGCAUGAUUUUAGAAGCUCAUGUUGGCAUUGGUAUUAAGGGUAAAGAGGGUCGGCAGGCAGUGAGGAACAGUGAUUACGCCAUCCCCAAACUCAAGCACCUCAAAAAACUUUUGUUGGCUCAUGGGCAUCUCUACUAUGUCCGCAUUGCACACCUGGUGCAAUAUUUCUUUUACAAGAACCUUUGCUUCAUCUUACCUCAGUUUUUGUACCAGUUCUUCUGUGGCUAUUCCCAGCAACCCCUGUAUGACGCGGCCUAUCUGACGAUGUACAACAUCUGCUUCACCUCUAUGCCCAUCCUGGCUUAUAGUCUCCUGGAGCAGCACAUCUGCAUUGAGGUUCUGCUGGACAACGCUGCCCUCUACAGAGAUAUUGCUAAGAAUGGCAUGUUACGGUGGAGACCGUUCCUCUACUGGACUCUACUCGGAGUCUUCCACGGCCUGCUCUUCUUCUUUGGUGUUAGAUUUUUGUUCAGUAACCCAGCACUGCAGGACAACGGCCAGGUUUUUGGCAACUGGUCAUAUGGAACAAUUGUCUUCACUGUCCUUGUCUUCACUGUCACACUGAAGCUCGCUCUGGACACACGGCACUGGACAUGGAUCAACCACUUUGUAAUUUGGGGCUCCCUGCUUUUCUACGUGUUUUUCAGCUUCUUCUGGGGAGGAAUAAUAUGGCCUUUCCUGAAGCAGCAACGUUUGUACUUUGUGUUUGCCAACAUGUUGAGCUCCGUGUCGGCCUGGCUGGUCAUCAUCUUGCUCAUCCUGCUCAGCCUACUGCCGGAGAUCCUGCUUGUGGUGUUCCACAAGCCUCGUGGGCCUCGACAGAAGAAGCUGGUUCAGUCGAACGUGGGGGACCACCGGUCUCCCCGGUCUGCAGCCAGGCCCCUGCUCAUGAGAACCUUUACAGAUGAGUCCAAUACUGUCAUUUGAACAGUGUGAAACAACCGAGCUGGUCCGUGAUUAUAGCUUCCCCUGUCUGACAGUCAUGUACCGUUUAUACCGCUGACGUUUGGCCAUGGUCGCUUCGUCCCGUGUGCACGUACAAACCUGUGUUGGUGGUAGCCGUCUGCUUACUUUCCUGGUAAAGAAAUGGAUGCAUUUGUGAGUGCUGAGCUUAACUCACUGCAUGAUGUGAUGUUGCUUAACCUCAGACAGUGGUGCUGCUUACAUUAAGGAGGUGGCAAAAUUAAUGGAAACAUCGCAUGAAGGAAUAUUUUAAAGAUUGUCAACGGUAAAUAUGGAAAACUAUUACAUAAGACAAUAUGGACAAAAUAUGAGCUCCAUAUGGAAUUGCUAAUUAUCCAAUACAUUUUUUUAAACUAAUUAAAUCAAUUAAAUAAUUGUUCUUUUUAAUUAUAGUUCUGGGCUGUUUUUUUUGCUUUUGACAGAUGGGGAUGGGAAGAUGCCAGAUUCUGCCCUGUUAGACUUUACAUGUUAUUAUUAAAUAAUAAAAGUCACUGCAAGAGAAUGAGAAAAUAGCCAGGAGUUUUUAGGUCUGAAGGGCAUGUCCACCUUUUGGGGUCCAUGAUAUUGUGUUUUCAUGUUUUUUGUCAACCCUUGUAGGUCUUUAUGUCACACCUUCCCAUCACUGUUGACCAGGGUCACGACUAUCUGUUGCUUGACAAUAGCAUCAGGCCUUUUGCAACAUUGUUCACAGUUUAACUUCAAUUUCUAUUUUCCCAAUAGCCGUCAGAGGCCGGUCUCCUACCAACAUCCAGACCGCAGCUGUCACACCACUAUCCUAUAAGCACCUGAAGGAGCGCGAGUGAAAGGCAGAAAGGAUCGUGUCCCAUACCAUUCAGGUCUGUCUGCCAUCAUGCCUGGUCUUAAAAGAGGAAAAGAACAAGAACAAGAUGAAGAGGAGAAAAAAAAUAAGCCGAGCGAUGGGCUGACUGGGGGGGGGAAGGGUUAAAAAGGAGUUUAGCAAUCUUUUGGCUUGCGUCUCUCCUUCUUUCUCUGCCCAAUCCCAACAGCUCCUAACCCCCCAACGCAUGCCUGCAGAGCAGUGCCCUGCAUUAUUUUGAAAUAUCUACUCGGAUGACAGGCAUGAGUUCUUUCUUUUUAUUUCUUUAAAACAAAUACUAGCUUACAAAUGAAUGCAUACACGGCUGCCUUGUCAGUAGCUCUAUCCAACUGCUGUGUUUUAACAAGUGGUUGUAAUAAUAUCCACUCUAAGAAUGGUUCACCUGCAUGAAAGAAGGCUCAACAGAACACUUCACUCCACUAAUGUUCAAUCACUGUGUUCUGCAAAGUUUUUAUAUGAUGACCUCAUUCUCUCCAAUGGUUACACUUUGAACGGUUAUUAUACUUUAUAUUAUUGUGCUUUUCAACAGUUAUUCUUUAUUUGGUUAUAUGUUUCAGUACUCACACACAAUUUAAAUUAUUCAAGACAAAAGGUUACUGAAAGUGAUUUCAGAGCAGUUUAUAGAGGAUUAUAUGAUUAUUUGUUUUCAAUGAUAAAUAUGCGUUUCUUUUGAAUACUGGUAAUGGACACCAUAUAUACCACUCUAUCCAAAGUGUGUGUGUGUGUGUGUGUGUGUGUGUGUGUGCAUGUAUGUAUGCAAGAUUGAGAAGAAUAUUAGAGAUGUUAAGCAAUAAGACAUUGCUCAAAGCGAGACCUAAAUCUGCCAACCUCAGAGAUAAUUUAAAAGUCAAUUUAAAAUGAGAAUAUUAAUAUAUGUGCUCUACUGUGUAUACUUAGCUUAGAGAUGUAUAAGAGCAUCUGCUCAAAGCCAAAAAGAUGAACGUAAUGCGAUCAGAUUCUGUCCACGCUAGUGUGACCUAAAAGUGUGCGUGUGUGUGUGUGUGUUACUGUAAGUGCAUGCUGGAUGAGAAAAUCCAGAAAUGCCCGUGUCAUGAAACCAGGAUUACUUGAGCCUCGUUGAUGUAGUUCGCCUCAACAUUUCCUGCACUAUUUUAGGAUGCUGGUUUCCUCAUUGCUUAGAUGGUCACUAAGGCACACACACAUGCACAUAUCCGAUAGACAAGAACAACACACACGCACAAAAGUCCACGUUGUACACGUUAUUGCGUACAUGCACUAACGCCUAAAUGAGGUAUUUAUGUUCAUUACCCAUUAUCUAGUUUGCAUAAUUUGUCUCAGGCAUGCUAAAGUUGGAGUGUAAAGAAAAUCAACUCCAGAUCUGCAGAGUCGACAUGGCUAAGACCACUUCGGGGCUCCGGGCUCUGUCUCAUCAUCCUGUUUUUGGUCAAAUUUGCUGACUGACGGGAUGACAGGGUGGACCGUUCGCUCCUUCCUUUAACUUCUUGUGUGCUUCAUACAUUCCAUUCAAACAUGCCAUGAUUUCAAACACUUUUAAACGAUCUGUUUCUGAAUAUUCUUGUGUUCUGUUAUUUCCACAAACCUGUAUUUGUCUAUUUGACAUAUUUAUUGUUAAGUGUACUUUUACUCACAAAUGUUAUACUUUUAUUACAUAAAGUUUUUUUUGUUUUUGUUGUAUUGUGAAGAUUGGUCAAUCUUGUGCUAGUUAACUUGGUGUGUUACUCCAGCCCUGAUGUGAGCCCGUGCCAAUCCCUUUUAGUAGUCUUUGUCAUACAUGAAAAGACAGGCAGCCCCGACAACACACUCCCAGUAUCCCAGUCAAACUCUGAACCAGUGCCAGUCCUUUUUACCCGGUUAUCUCAACUCUUGGUUUAAACUGUCACUAAUCAGCUGUCAGGGUGGUGAUUUUAUAGAGUUUAUUACUACACUGAUCCCCGCUCAAACAAUAACUCCAGUGCAGUAAUUUCCAGUACUGACCUUGUAUUUCACCCCACUGACAUAUCUGAUACAGUGCUUUUCAUUCCUCCAAAUGAAAAUUAAAAGAAUUAAGUUAUGUUAAUUUGUUUUUAACAAAUGGAAAAAAUGUACGCACCUUUCAGCGUCAUUUUCUACUAAGACGAGCUGUUGUUAUGAUGUCAGGAUCAUGAAGGGGGCUGUUUUUCUUUACUCUGUGACGUGUCGCCUCCAGACUUCGCUAACCAGAUGUAAGAGGAGAGCGGGACUGCCUGCUUUGUUAAAAGAAACAUUAUAAAACCUUUAAGCGACAUCAGAGACGCUAUUUUCAGAGCUUAAAAAUAUCUUGGAAUCUAAUGUUUUGCCUGUCUAAAUGAAAAGUAUAAAAGAAUGGAUUGUAUUUUUAAUGCAACAUUUUUCCAGCCAUUUUUGCAAUAAAAUCAAAACGUCCAAAAAAAAAA